rnacentral:lncRNA from 1 species
GGUACUGAAGCACUUUCGUUUUUAUUUGGCAAUUAUUGUCCAAUCAUGGACUAACUAGGCUCAAAAGAUUCAUUUUGCGAUUUACGGGCAAACUGUGUAAUUAGUUUUGGUUUUGACUACAUUUAGUGUUUUAUGCAUGUGCCGUAAGAUUCGAUGUGACGAAAAAUUUUAAUUUUUUUUAUUUUUGGGAACUUAAUAAUGUCUAAAGGGCCCAGAGUUUUUUUCCGCCCCGGGCCUAAAAAAAUUCAGGGCCGGCACUGUUUGUGUAUUAUGAUUGCUUUCUUUAUAAUAAAAUAUAUACAAGAGUAUGGUCAAAAAAAAAAAGAAAAGAAAUAUUGUGGUGAACCCUUAUAGGAUCGCGAUUGUAUUUAGGCCCUUCUUUCCAAAGUAUAAGACAUUCUAACU